rnacentral:rRNA from 1 species
GAUGUGAAAUCGAGUAGGGCGGGACACGUGACAUCCUGUCUGAAUAUGGGGGGACCAUCCUCCAAGGCUAAAUACUCCUGACUGACCGAUAGUGAACCAGUACCGUGAGGGAAAGGCGAAAAGAACCCCUGUGAGGGGAGUGAAAUAGAACCUGAAACCGUGUACGUACAAGCAGUGGGAGCCCUUCGGGGUGACUGCGUACCUUUUGUAUAAUGGGUCAGCGACUUACAUUUUGUAGCGAGGUUAACCGUAUAGGGGAGCCGUAGGGAAACCGAGUCUUAACUGGGCGUCUAGUUGCAAGGUGUAGACCCGAAACCGGGUGAUCUAGCCAUGGGCAGGUUGAAGGUUGAGUAACAUCAACUGGAGGACCGAACCCACUAACGUUGCAAAGUUAGGGGAUGACCUGUGGCUGGGGGUGAAAGGCCAAUCAAACUCGGAGAUAGCUGGUUCUCCCCGAAAGCUAUUUAGGUAGCGCCUCGGACGAAUACUACUGGGGGUAGAGCACUGUUUGGGCUAGGGGGUCAUCCCGACUUACCAACCCCAUGCAAACUCCGAAUACCAGUAAGUAAUAUCCGGGAGACACACGGCGGGUGCUAACGUCCGUCGUGAAGAGGGAAACAACCCAGACCGCCGGCUAAGGUCCCAAAGUUCUGGUUAAGUGGGAAACGAUGUGGGAAGGCUCAGACAGCUAGGAUGUUGGCUUAGAAGCAGCCAUCAUUUAAAGAAAGCGUAAUAGCUCACUAGUCGAGUCGGCCUGCGCGGAAGAUGUAACGGGGCUCAAACCAGGCACCGAAGCCGCGGAUUCAUACUUAUGUAUGAGUGGUAGGGGAGCGUUCUGUAAGUCUGCGAAGGUGUAUCGAGAGGUAUGCUGGAGAUAUCAGAAGUGCGAAUGCUGACGUAAGUAACGAUAAAGGGGGUGAAAAGCCUCCUCGCCGGAAGACCAAGGGUUCCUGUCCAACGUUAAUCGGGGCAGGGUGAGUCGACCCCUAAGGUGAGGCCGAAAGGCGUAAUCGAUGGGAAGCAGGUUAAUAUUCCUGCACGACUUGUAAUUGCGAUGGGGGGACGGAGAAGGCUAGGUGGGCCAGGCGACGGUUGUCCUGGUGAAAGUGCGUAGGUGGUGUUUCCAGGCAAAUCCGGAGACACAACACUGAGACACGAGACGAACACACUACGGUGUGGAAGCCAUUGAUGCCCUGCUUCCAGGAAAAGCCUCUAAGCUUCAGAUUACAAGUCAUCGUACCCCAAACCGACACAGGUGGUCGGGUAGAGAAUACCAAGGCGCUUGAGAGAACUCGGGUGAAGGAACUAGGCAAAAUAGAACCGUAACUUCGGGAGAAGGUUCGCUCUUGACAGUGAA